AUUCCAGCUCCAAUAGCGUAUAUUAAAGUUGUUGCAGUUAAAAGCUCGUAGUUGGAUUUCUGGUGCAUUCCACUGGCCUAUUGGUUAACUCCAACUUGGCUCAUUUGGAAUACGCCAUCUUUAGGCAGACCCGUCGUGGCAUUAGGUUGUCGUGAUGGUUACGCCUAUCGUUUACUGUGAAGAAAUUAGGGUGUUCAAAGCAGGCUUAUGCCAUGAAUACGUUAGCAUGGAAUAAUGAGAUAGGAUUUCGGUACUAUUUUGUUGGUUUGUGUACGGAAAUAAUGAUUAACAGGAACAGUGUUGUGGGUAUUCGUAUUUCGUUGUCAGAGGUGAAAUUCUUGGAUUUACGAAAGACGAACGACUGCGAAAGCAUUUACCAAGAAUGUUUUCAUUA
rnacentral:rRNA from 1 species